GACGAACGCUGGCGGCGUGCUCAACACACGCAAGUCGAACGGAAAGGCCCUGCUUUUGUGGGGUGCUCGAGUGGCGAACGGGUGAGUAACACGUGAGUAACCUGCCCUUGACUUUGGGAUAACUUCAGGAAACUGGGGCUAAUACCGGAUAGGAGCUCCUGCUGCAUGGUGGGGGUUGGAAAGUUUCGGCGGUUGGGGAUGGACUCGCGGCUUAUCAGCUUGUUGGUGGGGUAGUGGCUUACCAAGGCUUUGACGGGUAGCCGGCCUGAGAGGGUGACCGGCCACAUUGGGACUGAGAUACGGCCCAGACUCCUACGGGAGGCAGCAGUGGGGAAUAUUGCACAAUGGGCGGAAGCCUGAUGCAGCAACGCCGCGUGCGGGAUGACGGCCUUCGGGUUGUAAACCGCUUUCGCCUGUGACGAAGCGUGAGUGACGGUAAUGGGUAAAGAAGCACCGGCUAACUACGUG
rnacentral:rRNA from 1 species